GAUGAACGCUGGCGGCGUGCCUAAUACAUGCAAGUCGAGCGAACCAACUAGACGCUUGCCCCUUCGACGUUAUCGUCGGACGGGUGAGUCACACGUAGGUAACCUACCUGUAAGACUUGGAUCACUUCGGGGAACCGGAGCUAAUACCGACUACUAUUUCGAAACGCGUGGUUCGAUAGUGAAAGAUGGCUUUGCUAUCACUUAUAGAUGUACCUGCGCCGUAUUAGCUAGUUGGUAAGGUAACGGCUUACCAAGGCAACGAUACGUAGCCGACCUGAGAGGGUGAUCGGCCACACUGGAACUGAGACACGGUCGAGACUCCUACGGGAGGCAGCAGUAGGGACUCUUCCGCAAUGGGCGAAAGGCUGACGGAGCAAAGCCGCGUGAGUGAUGAAGGUGUUCGGAUCGGAAAACUCUGUUAUUAGGGAAGAACAAACGUGUAAGUAACUGUGCACAUCUUGACGGUACCUAAUCAGAAAGCCACGGCUAACUACGUG
rnacentral:rRNA from 1 species